AUGGCCCCUUGCCUGCCCACGAAGACACGGGCCACCCACAAGGCGACAGCCCCCAACCCAUGGAGCCCCUUCGCAGCCCCACACUCAAAACGCAAGCGGGAAAACUGGGCUCCACGUCCCCCUGCCCCGCCAAUCCUUCACCGUCCACAGGAACAGCUUGGCAGGUGGCGUGGCGGCAGUCACAAAGAAUGCUACCUGCUAGACGCAAACCCGUACGCGUGUGCGUGUGUGUGUGUGUGUGUGUGUGUGACAAAGCCAGUCUUUAAUAUAUCGAAAUGUGGGCAAGUUCUCCAACAAAAGCCCACGCGGGGGGUAGGUGGGUGGGUGUCUGCGCCCAGGACCGCCAACCUGCCCCGAGGCCUGACCCGGGGCUCCGGGAGACGCCAGCCCCACCCCCGCGAAAGGCCGAGCCGAACUUGGUGUCCGUCUUCUCACCUGGACGCGGGCCGGCUGGGGAAUGCCCGGGACCGGGAGCCCAGAGGUGGGACUGCGGCCGGAAUCGGGCGGCUGGAGCGCGGGAGCCGUGCAGGCACCAGAGGGAGAAAGGCUCGCAGGAGAGGAGCGGGGCUGGGGGCGCAGGAGCAGGGGACUCCGGGCUGGGGCCAGCCGGGAAUGGACAGGCGCGUUAGACGGCGCCCCGCAUGGAGAGGGGCGCGGGGCCGGAGGGCCCGGGCUGGCACUCAGAGCGCGCAGGAGAAUGGCUUGGGAGGGGGAGGGCCCGUGAGUCGGGGGUCUUCAGCGGGCAUGCCCGAUCGGUGGCGGGAUUCGGCGCCCAAGCUUGGAACCCCGCAGCAGCCCCACGCCCACUGCUGCGUUGCGGGGACCCCCUCAGUGUCCCCACCCCCGCCUCCGAAAGCCCGCCGGCCCCCAGCCGCCACGCUGCUCAGCCCCAACCGCCACCGCCCGGGCGGGCGCCUCACUCACCGCCCAUGGUCCGGCCCAGCUCCGGCUCCGCCGCUGCGCGCCCGGCUCGCCGCCCUCCGCCAGCUCCUCCCGGUGCGAGGGGAGGCGAGGGCGGCGCGCACGGGCCGCGGGGCAACGCGGGGUCCCGCAGCGCCCCCUGCCGCCCCCGCCGCGCUCCGUGCCCGGCGCCCUCGAGCUCCUCCCAGGAGGCGGCCUGGAGGGGCAGCCCGGCCUUGA
rnacentral:lncRNA from 1 species